rnacentral:rRNA from 1 species
UACGGGGGGAGCAAGCGUUGUUCGGAUUUACUGGGCGUAAAGGGCGCGUAGGCGGCGUGACUAGUCACUUGUGAAAUCUCCGGGCUUAACUCGGAACGGUCAAGUGAUACUGUCGUGCUAGAGUACAGAAGGGGCAACUGGAAUUCUCGGUGUAGCGGUGAAAUGCGUAGAUAUCAGGAGGAACACCGGUGGCGAAGGCGGGACUCUGGGCCGAUACUGACGCUGAGGAGCGAAAGCGUGGGGAGCAAACAGG